rnacentral:lncRNA from 1 species
UGACAUAAAAGGAAAGGCAGAGAGGCAGCCCAAGCUCCUUUUCCUUUCCGUCCUUCCGUGCUCAUCAGGAAGCCCAAGGCAGGGAGUGAGGGUACAACCACGGAACCUACAGUCGCUGGAUCAAGCUCUCCCUGCCCAGUGCUGUGAAUCAUGACUGGAGUGAGGGAAAACUGUAUAAAUGGCUGCAAACCAAGCCCACUGGUUACAGACAGUGUCUGCUAGCUGUAGACCACGCCUGUUGGUUACAAACCAAGUCCGAUGGUUCUGGGGCACAAGACAGUCCCCAUGACUAAGAAUGACCCAACCACAAACGCCGGCAGUGCUGUGGUGAAGGAGCCACGCAGGAGAAUGGAGGUGGUAAAAGCAGGCUCACCGGGGUCAAACUGUCCAGUUUUAAGUUCUGGAUCCAACUUUUACGAAUGCUAUGGACUUGGAAAAUUAUAACCUUUCACCGAGCCUCAGUUUCCCCAUCUGUAAAUAAUGGGAUGAUAACGGCACCUGCCUCCUGAUGCAGAGUUGGCUCGGCGCAGGGCAGCCAGGGCAGCAUCCCCAGCCCUCUGCACCUCCGGACGGUGAGAGCUCCCUGCUUAAUAACGAGCCGGGCCCGGGGACACUUACCCUCUGUCUUGCCUCGCAUAAGUCACUUCAUCCUUGCAAGGAGCAGUCUCUGGGUUCGUGUUAAAAAUCGAAGCUAAAAACCAGUGAUUCUUUUAAGGGUGAUGUUGAGCUUAAACCAUGUUGGGACUUGGAAUAAUAAUACAAAGAAGAACUGACUCCAGGGAGGACUUUCUGGGCUAGCACUGUGCUUUGUGCCUGGCAAGCACCCUCUCGUCUCAUCCUGGGAGUAAGGACAUGUUAACUUAGCAGAGACGAAGAAAUUGAGGCUCAGCGAGCGGGAGGGCCUUGCCGAGGACACAGCUGGCAAAUGGCCGUGUGACCAGAGCCUGCACUUGCAGCGAGACUUCUGUGCUCGCUCUGGUUUCAUCCUUUAAGAGGAACACCCUGCAACGGCCCCGGGGAAGCCCCCCUGCCUUCCUUCACCCCAGGGACCCCAGGAACAUUAGCCAAUAAUGAGAAUUUCUGGUUUCCCUCUCCCAUCUCAUGUCAGCGUUCGGCUAAAAACCUUCCAUCAGCAUCAACCCUAAUGUUUUCAGGCGAGUCUUUAAAUUAAAUUCCGUGGAAAUGGUUUCAUUUCAAUGAAUCAGAUUGGAAUGGCUGGGAGCAAUCCUAGCAGGAGAGCAGAUGCUGCGAGGGAGGCACGGAACCAGGGCCAGCGGGCCUCUUGGCGUCUUCCCGCCCCACCAACUGCCCGUCAGCUCCCAUUUGGUGGAGGCCGUCGCCCAGAGAACCAAUAAGGGUGACAUCUCAAGCAUGUGAGCAGAACCACAGUUGGAAAGAUAAUGUUUGCUCAGCGUCCCGAGGCAGGUGCCCAGCAGAGCUUCCUGGCGGGGCCUCCGGGUGCAGCGCUGAAUUGACUGUCUAGUCCCAUUAGUGUCUGAGGCCAGCCUGGUCCUCGCAGCCACUGUCUGUGCUCACAAAGAACAUGGAUCUCUGGCUCUGACCCGAGGCCUCCAAAGCCUAAAGUGUGGGAGAGGCAGCCAGGUCGUGUCGCACGUUGGGACAUCUCGCUAUGCGACAGUGCCUACUCAUCACUGCUUGAGCAGAACCCACCGUGCUUGCCCGGCCUCCGACCGUCCUGGGCUUGAACCCAGCUCCAUUGCUAGGUGAAUGUGUGAUCUUCAUCAGCCUAAUUUCCCUGUUUCCAAAAUGGGAGUGAUACUUCCCGUCUUAGAGGACAGUUGUGAGAGGCAGGACGGGGCAGGGGCCAGAGCACCCACCCUGGACCUAGAAUGCCUGUGUGGGCAUCUCAGCGAUGUCAUUACCCACUGAGGUACCUGGUGGUGACUCAUGUCCGAUCAGAAGGACCUCCUUGGGGUUUUACAGUGUGGGAUGAACCGAAACAGCAUACACAAAAUACUUCAAAGAGUCUCCAGAACAUACAAAGCAUCGGCCAGGCCAUUUAUUAGAUCCUUCCUGCAUCCCCACAGGCAGUGCCCAGGAGACGUUUGUGGGAGGAAUGCAGGAUCCUGUCACCUGGUCAGGAAGACACCGUCAUCUGUCUGGGCUUGCAGGGGGUCAGAGUGGUGGCAGAGGGCAAAGAAGAUGCACAGAUGCUGCCUCCAGGGCCUGGGAGCAUCACACUAGGUCCAGGGCUUAACACCUUUGCAGGACGUUUCGUGGCGGAGAAGGAUGGGGCAGCAUUGAGGGUGCAGGAGCAGCAGCAGCAGCAGCAGCACAGGCAGGGAGGCCUGGAAGGGCAGCUCCCAGGGGGAACCUGCGGCUGGACAGCUGCAGAGAGGACUGACCCAGACCCCCUUCAGUGUCGGGUAUGGUGGCUCAGUGCCUCGGGCCCACAGUGAUUUCAGGACUCCCGAAAUGUUUUAAUUGCUUUUAAAAUCAAAAGGAAACACAUGAACUUUUAGGUUGAGGAAAAAUGUUUUCAGUAUAUAAAUCAAUAGAUUCCUGUUUAUACCAAUGCCAUUGUAAUAUAUAUGUUUUAAUGUUUUUUUAGCGGAAGGAGGGCCCGGGAAACUCAUGCUGUGACCUGAUAAAUGGCAUGCAGAGGAGUGUGCGAUUUUCUCAGGCCAGCCGUGGGGAGCUGUCAGAGCCGUCCAAAUUAAAGACAUUAAGAAAGGACCUUUGGAGAUGGCAAACAGGAUGGUGGAAUGGAUUCUUUCUGUCAGAUGAGAACUGGACAACAUGACCUCACAAGAUCCUUCUUUUCCUAAAGACUCUGGGACUCUGUGGAUUCCUGGGAACCUUCCGAAGAGUCAGUAGAAGCGGAGCUCCAUCACCCCCAUAUUCCACAUUCUCAUAACCACCAGCUGGAUUUGCUCUCACAGUGACCUCUUUUCACUCCUUCCUGAGAUGUUUCUUGAGCUGGAGACCUGGCUGAGCACUUGCAUUUGUCUCUGCAACAUCCAUCAAACCAUUUACAUGAGUCUUUGCAUCACCUGGAAAGCAGAGCCUGAAGCAAGGGUUCGAAUGCGGAUCCUGGAUUUGGAAGGUGCAAGCCCAAGGUGCCCCUUGUAGACUCCUUACUGGGAAGACCACUAACAGCACCAGGAGGAAAUGCUGCAGCUUGCCUCAAAUCCUGGUCCAGCCGCGUGUCUGCUGGUGACUACAACAACCCUCUUAACGGAUCUGAGCCUUCGUUCCCUCAUCUGUGAGGUAGGGCUGAGGGUGCUGUCCACCUGCCCAGGCUGGUGGGGAACGUGCAAUGAGAUGAUCCCUGUAACAUGCUUGGCAUGAAGCUAGGCACAGUGUAGGUGUGAAUAUAUGAGAGCUGAUUAAAUUAACCAACCUUAUUCCUCCGCAUCAUGACUUACCAGCUACUACCCCACCUGUGUCCUGUAGAACCAGGCUUGCAAAGCCUCUGCUACAUACUAAAGCCAGGGAGAGGCCACUGAUGGGCAAAAAGAGGAGGACAGAGACCUGGAAAACACUAACAAGGGCCCAGUAUAUGCAUAGGAAGCAGACGGCUGAUGUUCAGGUGGAGUUCAGGUUCAGUAUGCUCCAGCAGCACCCAUCGGAGAACCCAUUGGUAAGAGGCUUUGGAACAGAUGAUUUUCUAAAGCUAUAACUGUGGGUGGCUUAUAGGGGUAGUGUGGCCACUGUGACACAUAGGUCCCAUGCCAUACAGGACCUUGGAGCCCUGUCCAAAGCAGUGAUGGGAAAUGCACGUGACUGGGGGCUCUCAGUCUAGGGGAACUAGGAGGGCUUCAGAUCCCAGAGCCUGGCUGAAGCCCCAGCAGGACCACAGUGAUGUCUUGUCUUGGGAAAGUGUGUGCCCUGCCCCCAGAGACACCUGGACUUUUCAGCUCAGCGCUGCGGCAAGCACCCUAGCACAUGCCACCCAGGGCUUCCCAGAGGGUGGCCCCGAGUCAGGCAGUACACUAAAGGUUGGGACUCAAGUGGAAAGUUUGCUGAGAGAGUGAACAGGGGAAGUUGUUGAUCCUGGCCUCAUCUGCCAUUGCUCUCUGGGCACCCUGGCGCUGAGCCAGCCUCGGCUGCUGGCCUCCCUCAGCUGCUGGCCUCCCUCAGUUGCUGGCCUCCCUCAGCUGCUGGCCUCCCUGCUGGGGGUCUGCACCAGGUAGAGUGCUGUUUGGCUGAGAUUCACACACACAAAAAAUCUCAUUAAGCGGUGGAUUAAACAAAAUUGGGGCUUAUUUCUUUCUCUUAUAACAAAAGCCCAGAGGUAGGUGGCUGUAUUAGUCAGGGUUCUCUAGAGGAACAGAACUAAUAGGAUCUACGUAUAUACGAAAGGGAGUUUAUUAAGGAGAAUUGACUCAAAGGAUCACAAGGCGAAGUCCCACGAUAGGCCGUCUGCAGGCGGAGGAGCAAGGAAGCCAGUGGUGGAUCAGUCCAGGUCCCAAAACCUCAAAAGCAGGGAAGCCAACAGUGCAGCCUUCAGUCUGUGGCCAAAGGCUCAAGAGCCCCCAGCAAGCCACUGGUGUAAGUCCAAGAGUCCAAAAGCUGAAGAACCUGGAGUCUGAUGUUCAAGGGCAGGAAGCAUCCCGCGUGGGAGGAAAGAUGAAAGCCAGAAGACUCAGCAAGCCAGCUUCUUCCACUUUCUUCCACCUACAUUUUUUAAGCUGCGCUGGCAGCCCAUUGGAUGGUGCCCACGCAGAUUGAGGAUGGGUCCACCUCUCCCAGUCCACUGACCCCAGUGUUUAUCUCCUCUGGCAACACCCUCACAGACACACCCAGAAACAAUACUUUUCAUCCUUCAAUUCAAUCAAGUUGACACUCAAUAAUCACAUCAAGCAUCCAAUGGACAGUCAUCUGAACACCUCUCCAGAUACAUCGCCACUGUGCAGGGCUUGGGCUGGCAGAGGGUGCUGCAUAAAGACCCAACUUCAAAAGGGAAUGAGAGAAACAGAGCAGUUCAUGAUGCCCCAAGUCUCCCUUUAAAAUCCUUCCGAGCAGGAAUUAUCACAAAGACUCCCCACCCUGGCAGCAGGGUGAGCUCCUUGGUGACCCCACAGGCAGCCCUGGCCCUGCUCUCUGAAGCACUUCCCGGGCUUGUCAUCCCGUGUCCCCUGGCUUUGUGCCCUGGAAGGCCCUUCCUUGUGCAGCACCCCUCAUGGCUCAACUGAAGCAAGCGUAGGAUGCUACACUCCUUGGGCAAUACACAGAUUUUGCAGCCAUCUUCUCCAGAUAUAGUUUUGAAGACCAUCACAGGCUAUUGUAGGCCCCACUUGUGGCACAUUUUUGGACAGUAACAGCCCCUCAAAAUGUAUUUGCUUCCUGUCUGUUCCAUGUGCAAGUAACCAUCCCCUCAAUCUGCUUACAGUCAUGAUCUUAAACGGACCAAGUCUCCUUUUCUGUUUCCAGGAUUUCUUGGUUGACCAGGUCUACGCUUCUGCACUAGUUCUCAAGAGCUGCUGUAACAAAGUGCCACAAACUAGGUGACUUAAAACAACAGGAAGUGAUCCUCUUAUAGUUCUGGAGGCUACAAGUCAGAAAUCAAAGUGUUGGCAGGGCCACGUGCCCUCAAAGGCUGUAGGGGACAAUCCGCUCCUUGCUCAUCCAGCCUCUGCUGGUUUCUAGCAGUCUUGAUGUUCCUCGGCUCCUGCCAGCAUCCUUGAAAUCUCCGCCUUCAUCUUCGCAUGGCUUUCUUUCUUGUUUCGGUGUCCAAGUUUCUUCCUUUUUAUAAGGACACCAGUCCUAUUGGAUUUAGAGUCCAUCCUAAUUCAUUACGGCCUGAUUACAACUGCUAAGACCCCUUUUUUAAAAAAUAAGGUUACAUUCACAAGUUCCAGGUGGACAUUAAUUACAAGGCAACACUAUUUAACUCGGUGCACCCUCUGUCUUUUUAUUUCAUGAUGUCUCCCCAAGGCCUUCUGAAACAGUAGGCUUGGUAGGGAGGCAGCACUCUUGCUCAGCUCAUGGAAGCUAAGGAGGCACCUAGAGACCCUUGCACCUACUGCUGCCUGAGAUACAGGAGCAGAUGGCUUUUCUAAUCUUGUGAGAAUCCAGACUUCUGGAUUUUAAAUCAAUUUAGAUUGCAGGUCUCAGCUUGUAAGCUUCUCUUAACCGAAGUCAAUUUUCUUCUAUACCUGUUUACAAAGCCAUGGGUUCUCACCUGAAUUUCUCUCUUUUGUAUUUUGCUAAAAGCAACAAAGAGCAGCCAACACUCUGAGUUUUUCCAGCAGAUUCCUGGUGAGACAAAGUCGAGAAGGUGGAUAGGAAAGUGGUCUGCUUUCCAAGUUAUCCCAGGGGACAGGUCUACCAAAAUUUGCAAAACACAGCAAGGGUGAACAGCUUCCAAACCUGCAGCGUCUAGACCCUCACCUCCUGCACCAACUGCUACGCCAGUGGUGUACAUUUUAGUUCUUCGUUUUGGUAGCACCCCACUUCUGGCACUAGUUUCUGUAUCUGUUAGGGUAGAAGCUAAGCUGCUAAAAUAAAGAGACCCAACCAUAGUGAUUUUGAUAAUGCAGAUCUUUUCACUCUCUCAUUUUACCAUGCAGGGGUGAAAAACCAGGGCUGGAAGGUGGCUGGGUCACCUUUAACUUGUUGUUACAUGACCACACGGAGCUGCAAGGGAGGGUGGGUUAUGCAGUCUGAAGCCAGACCACGUGCACAGCCAGAAUGUGUAUGGGGUUCUACUAAGUUUGAAAAGGAAAAAAGGCAUCACUGAUAUCAGAAGAUUGAUUUUCAAUUUUUCUCGAUCAUGUAUUUGGCGCUUUAUUGAGCUUCCAAUACCAAAUCUCCCUGGCUCCGUGCUGCCAUUUCUGCCUGAAUAUUUUCAAGGAAACUGAGCACCAGAGGUGUAGAGUAACUUUCCUGAAGUCACAGAGCAAUGUGGAGGUAGAGGUGGAGUCAGUGUCCAGAUCUACCAGGAGCCAAUCAGUCUGAGUCUAUCUGGGCGGCUACCACAAAAUACCACAGACUGAGUGGCCUAUAAACAACAGACGCUUACUUCUCUUAUUUAUCUCUGGAGGCUGGGAAGUCCACAAUCACGGGGCUGGCACAUUCAGCAUCUGGGCAGGGCUACUCUCUCUUUUAACAUGGCUCAUUUUUGCUGUGUCCUCACAUGGGGCUGGCAGAUGGCUGGGUCACCCUUAAUUUGUUGUUAAUUUCCAUGGUUCCUCCAAUUUGUUGUCACUCUUCCCAAAGGGCAGGGACUGAAAGAGUCUAUGGGAGCUUCUUCAGGGACACAACUCAGAAGUUGUAUGCAUCCCCUCUGCUCAUGUUCCAGUGGGCUGAGCUUUGUCACAUGACCACAUCUAGCUGCAAGGGAGGGUGGGAGAUACAGUCUGAAGCCAGAGAGCCAUGCGCACAGCUAGAAUGUGUGUGGGGCCAGAGGGGAUGAACGCUGUGUCCUUACAUGGCAGAGAAGAUGGAAGGCAAAAGGGACUAGGGUGCUUGCUACAACCUCUUUGAUGAGAGCAGAAAGCCAUUCAUGAGGGGGGAGUUCUCAUCAUUUAGUAACUUCCCUGAAAGCUCCACCUCUGAAUACCAUCACUUUGGGGUUUAAGUUCCAACAUGAAUUUUGGAGGGACACGUACAUUCAAACCACACCACAACCUGAUGCUCAUUUCCUCUUCCCUCCACCACAGGGUGAGACAAUCCUGCACCACAGGCAAUAAAGAGACCGUGAUAAGCAAAACCAUCCAUCUGGCUGUGGUUUGGCAUGCACCCCACUGGUCUCUUGAUUUUUCCCAAUUUCCCGUCUGGAGGGGGCCAUAGCCUAGGCCAGAAGAUGUUCUUUUCCCCCCAUGAACCUCAACAAAUCACCAAGUAUGUAAUGGAGGAAAACCGAAAAUCAAUCAUCUGAUAACAGUUCUGCCUUUUUCCUUGCUAUUAGUAGAACUCCACAUACCUGCUGUGCCCCUGGCUAUCUGGCUUCAGAGUACAUCUCCCACCUCCCUUGUAGCUGGAUGUGGUCAUGUGACAAAGGUCAGCCCAAUGGAACAUUUGAGCAGAGGGCAUGUGUACACCUUCUGAGUCCUGAGACCUAAAUGCAACCCAUUCUCCAAAAUCCAGUUUGCAUGCCCCCUCCUCCAGGAAGUCCUCUUUGACUACUGCAGUUUUUUGUUUUGCAAUACCCGUUUUCUAUAGUAUAUUGUUUCUGUGUUGUUCCCAUUGAUACAAAUGGUAUCCUCUUGAGGGCUGUUUAGCAAUUGUUUCAUCUUUCCCUAAUCCUGAGCCUCCCCUGUGUCUGCCACGGAGCCCAUGGCCUGCCCUCACUCCCUGGGUCUUGAGUGGGCUCCCCUCCUCUGUGCCUCCUCUGCUCCCAUCCUUACCUGCAUCAUUGACUUAUCCUGAUCAACUUUUAAGUCAACUGGUUACUUGUCUGCCUCACCCUCAAGAUCACAACCACUUUGACAGCAAGGACUUUGCUUUAAAGUUUUCUAGGGCUGACAUAACAAAGCUCCACAGACUCGGGGUCUUGAACAAGAGGGAUUUAUUUUCCCAUAGUCUUCCAGGCUGAAAGUUCAAGAUCAAAGUGUCGGCACGGUUGGUGGCUCCCGAGGCCCCGUCCUUGGCUUGCAGAUGCCGUCUUCUCCUUGUGUCUUAUCAUCUUCCCUCUCUGCAUGUCUGUGUUCUAAUCCCCUCUUUCUAUAAGGAUGUCAGUCCUCUUGGAUUCGGGCCCACCCUAAUGACCUCAUUUUAACUUAAUCACCUCUGCAAAGAUCUUAUCUCCGAACAUAAUCACAUUCUGAGUCCUUGGGGGUUACAGCUUCAACAUGAAUUUUUUUUGGGAAACACAAAACAGACUUGUUCCUUGUAGCCUACGUGCUCUGGCCCCUAGUACAGAACCUCUCUAAUGGGCCAUGUGGUAGCAGUCACUGGGUACCUGAAUGAAUGUUUAAAACACGAAGAACUGAUCUGACAGCUGGCACUGCUUUGGUGAUAAUUUAUCACAUCGAUCUUUCGGGUUCAGAGCGAGGGCACCCCAACCCCAGAGCAAAGGAGCUCCUGAGGUGGUGGCCAACAGAAAGCUGGAAGGGAGGCCCAGCUGCACUCCAGGAGAGCAGACCCAGCUGUUUCAGGGGCUCUGAGCCAUGUCUGACAACAUUCAAUGUGUUCAUGGAAAAUAGAAUCAGCCCAAUACACCUAAGCGGAGAGGAGGGUUUCUUAAGUGAGAGCUUUUUCCCCAAAAGAGGCGGGUGCUCCGAGGUCAGGAGAUCGAGACCAUCCCGGCUAAAACGGUG